rnacentral:rRNA from 1 species
GAUGAACGCUGGCGGCGUGCCUAAUACAUGCAAGUCGAGCGAACAGACGAGGAGCUUGCUCCUCUGACGUUAGCGGCGGACGGGUGAGUAACACGUGGAUAACCUACCUAUAAGACGGGGAUAACUUCGGGAAACCGGAGCUAAUACCGGAGAAUAUAUUGAACCGCAUGGUUCAAUAGUGAAAGACGGUGUUGCGGUCACUUAUAGAUGGAUCCGCGCCGCAUUAGCUAGUUGGUAAGGUAACGGCUUACCAAGGCAACGAUGCGUAGCCGACCUGAGAGGGUGAUCGGCCACACUGGAACUGAGCCACGGUCCAGACUCCUACGAGAGGCAGCAGUCUGGAAUCUUCCGCAAUGGGCGAAAGCCUGACGGAGCAACGCCGCGUGAGUGAUGAAGGUCUUCCGAUCGUAAAACUCUGUUAUUAGGUAAGAACAACUGUGUAAGUAACUAUGCACGUCUUGACGGUACCUAAUCAGAAAGCCACGGCUAACUACGUG